rnacentral:rRNA from 1 species
GAACCGUCCAAACGUUAUUCGGAAUCACUGGGCUUAAAGGGUGCGUAGGCGGCCCUGCAAGUUGGGUGUGAAAUCCCACGGCUCAACCGUGGAAUUGCGCUCAAAACUGCAGGGCUUGAGGGAGAUAGAGGUGAGCGGAACUUAUGGUGGAGCGGUGAAAUGCGUUGAUAUCAUAAGGAACACCGGUGGCGAAAGCGGCUCACUGGAUCUCUUCUGACGCUGAGGCACGAAAGCUAGGGGUAGCGAACGGGAUUAGAUACCCCGGUAGUCCUAGCUGUAAACGAUGAGCACUGGGUUGGAGGCCCCUCCCCAUAGGCUUCCGGCCGAAGCGAAAGUGUUAAGUGCUCCGCCUGGGGAGUAUGGUCGCAAGGCUG